rnacentral:rRNA from 1 species
GCGCACGCUGGCGGCAGGCCUAACCCAUGCAAGUCGAACGAACCUUUCGGGGUUAGUGGCGGACGGGUGAGUAACACGUGGGAACGUGCCUUUAGGUUCGGAAUAACUCAGGGAAACUUGUGCUAAUACCGAAUGUGCCCUUCGGGGGAAAGAUUUAUCGCCUUUAGAGCGGCCCGCGUCUGAUUAGCUAGUUGGUUGAGGUAAUGGCUCACCAAGGCGACGAUCAGUAGCUGGUCUGAGAGGAUGAUCAGCCACAUUGGGACUGAGACACGGCCCAAACUCCUACGGGAGGCAGCAGUGGGGAAUCUUGCGCAUUGGGCGAAAGCCUGACGCAGCCAUGCCGCGUGAAUGAUGAAGGUCUUAGGAUUGUAAAAUUCUUUCACCGGGGACGAUAAUGACGGUACCCGGAGAAGAAGCCCCGGCUAACUUCGUG